rnacentral:lncRNA from 10 species
GGGUGGACCAGGUGUUUUGCAGGCUACAUAAAUGACACACCUGGUCAAACCAAUCCCCUGGGCCCUAUGCAAACCAGACACUGCCCCCUGCAGCAUCCCAAUAUAAGCAACCACUUUUCUGCCACACACCAAGUUUCUGUUUGUUCUAAUCCCCCCUCCCUCUGUCUCUGUAUGGGGGAGCUGUUUUCUUCUUCCUUCCUUCUUGCCUAAUAAACUCUCCACUCCUUAAAACCAUUACAUGUGUGUCUGUGUCAUUUUAUCUAAACUGGUGCGAGACCAAGGACCCUGGUGUUCCUCCAGUCAUCGGAGCCGUAUCAUUUUGGUGCAUUGGCCAGGAAUUCAUUCAUCGGAGCGCAAUUAAACUCCAAAUGGUACUGCAAGCAGAACCACACAUGGACACGCCAUUCUUCCAAGAAUCCUUAAAUCAACCUCAGGAGAAGGCCCAACUGCUGCUCCCCUGCAUGCUCCUUUUCAGCAGGAAGUGGCCACAAAGAAUCAUCGUCCAACACCCCCUAACAGCAAAAAACCGCUUGAAGGGCCGGGCCAGGAAGCUUUGAUACGCAAAUGCCGCCCGUUAGAAAUGGUCCACCCAAUAUGGCGACUCCUGCCUUCUUCUUGUCACCAUGUGUGCCAAGUGUCAUGGCUACCUCCAGAUAAUACCAUGUGUUCAGAACAUCAUGGCGAUCCGUAUUUGCAUAUUAAAGAGCUAAGGUGGGAAAUUUCGCCAGGUUUUUCACAGGCAAUGUAAAUAACAUACCUGGUCAAACCAAUCCCCUGGGCCCUAUGCAAACCAGACACCACCUCCUCCAGCAUCCCAAUAUAAGCAACCACUUUUCCUGCCACACACGGGGUUUCUCGUCGUUCGAAUCCCCCCUCCCUUUGUCUCUGUACCGGGGAGCUGUUUUCUUCCUUGCUUCUCUCUUGCCUAAUAAACUCUCCGCUCCUUAAAACUACUCCACACGUGUCUGUGUCAUUUUAUCUAAACUGGCGCGAGACCAAGGACCCUGGUGUUCCUUCAGUCAUCGGAGCCAUGUCAUUUACACCUCUCUUGGUCCUAUUCUUGUCUCACUCUCCUUUGCCUUCCAUACACACAGGCACAUAAAAAUGAGACUUUUAAAAAAUUAAGUUUAUACUCACAUCUCUGUUACCUCCCACAACAAUAACUAGAUCGUGAGCUCCUUGGGAAAAAGUCUGGGUCUCGGGGGCCAAAUUUUUUUCCAGUGCCUCAUGUACACGAGGUCAUAAACAAAUGCCCUUCCUGAGGCUACCCAAG